rnacentral:rRNA from 1 species
CCUACGGGAGGCAGCAGUGAGGAAUAUUGGUCAAUGGACGAGAGUCUGAACCAGCCAAGUAGCGUGAAGGAUGACUGCCCUAUGGGUUGUAAACUUCUUUUAUAUGGGAAUAAAACAGGGUAUGCAUACCCUCUUGUAUGUACCAUAUGAAUAAGGAUCGGCUAACUCCGUGCCAGCAGCCGCGGUAAUACGGAGGAUCCGAGCGUUAUCCGGAUUUAUUGGGUUUAAAGGGAGCGUAGGUGGAUUGUUAAGUCAGUUGUGAAAGUUUGCGGCUCAACCGUAAAAUUGCAGUUGAAACUGGCAGUCUUGAGUACAGUAGAGGUGGGCGGAAUUCGUGGUGUAGCGGUGAAAGGCUUAGAUAUCACGAAGAACUCCGAUUGCGAAGGCAGCUCACUGGACUGCAACUGACACUGAUGCUCGAAAGUGUGGGUAUCAAACAGGAUUAGAUACCCUUGUAGUC